CCGAGCCGCGCUCGGUCUGGCCGUUCCCUCUAUCCUCUUGCACCCCCCUCGCCCCCCUUUUGUUUUGGGUUUUUUUUUUUUUUUUAAUUUAGUUUUUUAAUGUGCGGUGUGCGGAAUUUCGUCUCUUUAAACUCUGUGUGGUUCUGCCCCGGUAAACGGGACGGGUCCAUCCCCGGCUCGCACGCUUACAUGCUCAAUCCACACAGGAAGAAGCAGAAGUUUUAACCAUCUUCCCAUGGCAUCUGACUUUUUUGAAGAGGAGGACUUUUCAGCCGUUUGAUCGAAGGGAAAUAAGAAGUUUGUUUCAAGACUCCUAUGUUGUUCAUCAGUUCUGUUAACAAAUGUGGGGCUUGAGAAUACAUUUGCUUCUUCUCUUCAUUUUUGCUGAAGGUGCUGCAGCAUGGUGGGAGCUCCUGUAGCUGUAACCUGGUCUCCGGUGUGGGUGUUAGAGGAAGGACCUUGCUGUCUCCCAGCUCCUCUAGGCAUUAAGUUCCAUGAAUGUCUCUUGGGAAGAGGACAGCUCUGUAGAGCCUAAGUUUCAAAAGUAAUUUUAAAGAUUGCAUCCAAGAGAGAAGCAGUGAGGCCCACUGUAGGGAGAAUGAACCCAGCAGUCCAUCCUGUCCUGUGCCUGCCUGAAUAUGGGAAGAGACCUAGUACAAAGCUGGAAUGCAUCUGGGCUUGCAGUCUUUUUAACCAUAUUAAGUCCUGUUCAGAGUUAAUGAUGAGCUCAGUGAGAUGGUCUCAGCAAUGCUGAAGAAGGGAAGAGCAGAAUUGGAAGGCAGGAGCUAUUUCGAAGCAGGAUUCUUCAUCUUUCCGUAAUGCCCAAACGUGAAGACUUUAUAAACUUCAUUAGCUAUGAAAGAAGCUCAAAAUGAGGUCUGGAGAGUGGAGAGAGGCUUUAUUUUUCAUCGCUGAAGUCUCCCUGCACUCAGGGAACAAAGUUUGUCAUGGUGAGACACCAGACCUUUGAAGAGGCUCAGGUAACCUCUCACAGUGUGCAUGGUGCCAACAAAGGGGCCCUGUCAGCCUUUGUAGAGGGCGUUGAGACCUCAGUCAGCAUUGACUUUUCAGAAGAUGAGGAGUGUGUUGGUGAAGUGCUAGACUGUGGUUCUUCGGAUCUGUUGGUUCAUGGAGGAACAGAAGAAGCUCGGCAUGAAGAUGAAAAGGUGACAGCAGCAGCAGUAUCCUGGAGGUUGUGAUCACACAGGCAGAUGAGGUGGUGAUAGACAAUACUUCAUAUAAAAUUCCCUUUUAUCUUACCUGAUUUGUAUUCUUGGCUGUGGUCAGAAAUACAGCUUGUUGUUUCUGAUUAAUUCUUUAAUUUUCAUUUAUUUGUAUUUUGAAUUUAGAAAAAUUCUAUUUCAUGUUGGAAACGUUCUCCCUCUAACCCAAAAUGCAUUAAAAAGGCUAUUUGUUUAAUCAGCAGGAUUUUUUAAUCUUAUUAUAUGCUGCUCAAAAAUGAAUAUUUCUUUGUAUUGUACAGUACACAUUUACAUAAAUUAGUGUUAUCCUUGGUUAUUUUGCAACCCAUAAUUUAUAUGCUUUUUAGUUUUAUCAUAAAAUAAAAUCUUGCCUCUAAUAUUCUGGGAACAUUUUUAGCAUCAUAGCAAAUUACCUUGGGAGGAACUAUUACACAGUCAGUGAACUAUCCUACUUGAGUUUAAAAAAAAAAAAGAGGAACUUAAAUGUGUAUCAAAUGCUCAGCUUUCACUACUCUUUCAUUUUCGCAGGCUUUUGAAAACUGCAAAUUGGUAAAAAUUCUAGUAAAAUUCAUCUGGAGCAUAAAAUAUUUGCAACAUUUUUGGUUGCUUGAAAAAGAUUCAAGAUUCAUGGCCUGAUUCAAUUAUUUUUUAAGUGUUAAGAUAAGUUUCCUCCUCCUACCAGGUUUCUUUGUUUAUAUAUUUUUUUCUACAGAGGGUUCAUUUUGAAUAUUGCAUUCAGAAAUGUUGACAAAACAUUUGUCAAGGAUUUCUUUGAAAUAAUUUUGCGAGUACCUAAUCUUGCAAGGUACUGAUAAAUGGAGCUCUUGAUUCUGGGACAAUGGAGGCCCAAACCCCAAAUGAAUUGCAUAAGCUCUCCAUUUCAUCACCAUAAACUUGAAAUAUAAAAAUGCUAUGAAAACAUUUGCUAUACCUCCCUUGGGUUAACUUUCCCUUCUUUUCUCUGUGAUUUCAUCUUUGAGUAGCUUUGCUGUUAUUGACCAAUUCUCUGUACCUUGUAGGGGUUGCUAAAUUCCUCAUCCUGUACUACUUUUGCUCUUUGUGUGCGCUGAUAGCUGCAGGUUAGGAUCAGGGUAUGUGGAGCCAUGUGCAUCUGAGACAGAGGAUUCUGGCCCCAAAAAUCGCACUGAUUAAAUAGGAGUCAAGUACUGAUACAGGCAGUUGAAAAUAAUUUUGGUGGUUUUUUUAAUGUGGCCUCUAGCAGUAUUUAAAGACUGCAAAGAUCCUUGUUAUCUUAUCGUUUCGACUCCUAUUAUUGUUGAACUCUGUGGUUAUACAUAUUUCAGCAUCUUCUUUUCAUGUCUCCCUACAUCUUUAUAACUGUUGGACAAGUUAGUACGUGAGAUGCCUCCUUUUAUGUGUGCUAGAUGUUGUAGAUCCUCCAAGGGAAGGAGUAAUUAAAUUACUGUUUCAAAGGAGUUCUCCACCACACUAAUAACUUAUCUGUAAGCUUAUUAAAGUAGUUGUUUGUACUCUAAAAUGACUAAAUAACUGUUGUAUAAUCUCAAAAUGACAAUAAAUCAUAAUUCCUUCUGGAUGGCGGCAGCUAUGACGUCUGGAUAUGCCUAACUGCUGAUGUCUGACAGUUUUAAAUACCAUACUUGCAGGUACCUGGAGGAGGGCACAGGAAAAUAACUACAAUUCCAGCUGUUGUGCAUUCUGCAUAUUCACACUGGCUAUCAAUGUUGCUGGUGUUGGACCAUCAGUUGGUGCUCAAGCAGCAACCUCAGCUAAGAGCUGGGUGGAGGCAAACAGCAGUGAUAGCUGCCUAGAAGAUUUUGUUAGCUUUUGGAAUCAAAGGUUUUAAAAGCCCCAUGUACUGAAAAGAUGAAGCAUUUUUUUUAUUUUCACCACCACGUCUUUGGGCAUGAAGGAGGGAGGAGGACUUGCCUGUGGGCAAGUUCUGCUGCCUCAGUGCAUUCUGCCAGUCAUUUUAAGUCCUUAGAGAGAGUAAGUCCAUGCAGACAAAGUAAGAGUAAGUCCAUUUAGACGCUGAACUGCUAUGAUAAAAGGCAGACAAAUAUAUGUGUGUGUUUGGACAGAGGGCUUAGCCUUUCCAAGACUUCUCUCUGCUUCCAGGGAAAAGACCUGUGUAGUGAGGGAGAAGAGGAAAGGAGAAUACAAGUUUCAGUCCUACAGCAUGAAUACAUGUGUGCCUGAUAAAAUUCUUCCUGCUAAUGAAGUUCAGCUUUUCUUUUUCAUCCUGUUGGAUCAAUGAAAUGCUCCCAAAAUAAGCUCCAAUGGCUGAUUUUUAUUACAGCCUUAAGGAAUAGUUUAAUUUUGCCUUAGAAAUGCAUCUGAUAUGGCCAUUUGCUCCUGGGAUCUGCAAGAAGAUUUUUACCUUCCCUUCAACAAAUGACUACUGCUGAUCUUUGGUGACCAGCAGCUGUGCGUACACUGUGUGCAUGUUCUAGAGGAGUCAGAAACAGGGUAACUAACUGGCCCAGGCAGAAUCAAGUAUUUCUAGCAAAAUGACAGGUUUAAAAAUAGAUUUAAUUGCACCAUCUCUUAAUGUGUCUAUAUUUUGGGAGGUGAUUGGGAAAAAAAGGUGUCCAGGUUAGAAGUUUUAUAAACUGCUUAGAGUGACAUGUUCCUUAGCCUUGGAAAAAACAUGUUUUGGGAUGAAAUGAGAAAUUUUAUGAUGACAGAAAUAUGAAUAUCCUAUCCAGACUGAAUGGAAAGCAUAGGAAAUGUAGCAAAAUGUACCUUCACAGUUCUCCCCUGCCACUGGAUAGCACCUAAAGGAACAUGACUGAAAAAAUAGGAUGACUUCAUGUUCCUUAGCAGGGCAUAUGGAAUGCCUUUUCUUCUUGCUCACUAUGGUGUUACCACUUCUUCAUGGCUAUGCCUGAACUGGCCUUGUGGGCCAGAUAUGCCAACGCACUCAUCUCUGAUGAACCUACUUAACUCCAGUUUGUACUUCUUGUGCUGGCCAUUCUCUAUCCCAAAGCAGUAGGGUCACUGUGGGAACACAACAGCAUUGGUUUUGGAAGAAGGCUGAGGCAUAGUAAGUUGUAACUGAGAAUCAGGAGCUCCUUCUUCAUUUGUUCUACUUAGAGAAAGUAGACCCACAACGUUUCUUUCGGGAUUGAUCUUCUAAGGGAACAAGGAAACU